rnacentral:lncRNA from 1 species
UUGAUACCAUAUCCGGUAUCUUCUCCUUAAGAAUAUAUUUAUUAUUAUCAGCUACCCCUAAUUCAAAAAGACUGCUUCCUUGCCCCGUCUUUCUCUGUUGUUGCAAUAAUUUCUGGAACCGAGAAAUGUUCAUAAUCUUCUCUAUGCUCAUUCUCGUUUUCGGAUUCGGAUCAAGAACUUUAGCCGAGAACAGAAGCCGUGAGGGAGCUUCUGGAAGCGUGAGGCACGCCGGAAGGAAGCCGUGAGGGAUCUGGAAGCGUGAGGCACGCCGGAAGGAAGCCGUGAGGGAUCUGGAAGCGUGAGGCACGCCAGAAUCCGUGACGGAGCUUCUGGAAGCGUGAGGCACGCCGGAAUCCGUGACGGAGCUUCUGGAAGCGUGAGGGAGAGAAGCUGGUGAGGGAGAGAGGAAAGUGAGGGAGAGAGGGAGAGUGGGGGCUGGAGACAAAAUGCUAAAAUUUCCCUGGGCACGAAGUGAUUAAAGCAGUCUUUCUUUAUUAUUUUUUAUUCAUUCUUUAGCGAGAGGAACGAGAAGCGAAACGACGGGAGAGAAUGUCGUUUCUCUCGUCAUUCUCUCAUUCCUCUCGCUACCUAGCAGCACUC